UUUAUUUGAUAGUACCUUACUACAUGGAUAACCGUGGUAAUUCUAGAGCUAAUACAUGCUGAAGGCCCCGACUUCGGGAGGGGUGUAUUUAUUAGAUAAAAGACCAACGCCCUCCGGGGCUCCUUGGUGAUUCAUGAUAACUUGACGGAUCGCAUGGCCUUGCGCCGGCGAUGGUUCAUUCAAAUUUCUGCCCUAUCAACUUUCGAUGGUAGGAUAGGGGCCUACCAUGGUAUCAACGGGUAACGGGGAAUUAGGGUUCGAUUCCGGAGAGAGCGCCUGAGAAACGGCGGUCACAUCCAAGGAAGGCAGCAGGCGCGCAAAUUACUCAAUCCCGACACGGGGAAGUAGUGACAAUAAAUACUGAUACAGGGCUCUUUUGGGUCUUGUAAUUGGAAUGAGUACAAUUUAAACCCCUUAACGAGGAACAAUUGGAGGGCAAGUCUGGUGCCAGCAGCCGCGGUAAUUCCAGCUCCAAUAGCGUAUAUUAAAGUUGUUGCAGUUAAAAAGCUCGUAGUUGAACCUUGGGCCUGGCUGGCCGGUCCGCCUCACCGCGUGCACUGGUUCGGCCGGGCCUUUCCUUCUGGGGAGCCCCAUGCCCUUAACUGGGCGUGCGGGGGAACCAGGACUUUUACUUUGAAAAAAUUAGAGUGUUCAAAGCAGGCCUUUGCUCGAAUACAUUAGCAUGGAAUAAUGGAAUAGGACGGCGGUCCUAUUUUGUUGGUUUCUAGAACCGCCGUAAUGAUUAAUAGGGAUAGUC
rnacentral:rRNA from 1 species